CCUAACACAUGCAAGUCGAACGGUAACAGGAAGCAGCUUGCUGCUUCGCUGACGAGUGGCGGACGGGUGAGUAAUGUCUGGGAAACUGCCUGAUGGAGGGGGAUAACUACUGGAAACGGUAGCUAAUACCGCAUAACGUCGCAAGACCAAAGAGGGGGACCUUCGGGCCUCUUGCCAUCGGAUGUGCCCAGAUGGGAUUAGCUAGUAGGUGGGGUAACGGCUCACCUAGGCGACGAUCCCUAGCUGGUCUGAGAGGAUGACCAGCCACACUGGAACUGAGACACGGUCCAGACUCCUACGGGAGGCAGCAGUGGGGAAUAUUGCACAAUGGGCGCAAGCCUGAUGCAGCCAUGCCGCGUGUAUGAAGAAGGCCUUCGGGUUGUAAAGUACUUUCAGCGGGGAGGAAGGCGAUAAGGUUAAUAACCUUGUCGAUUGACGUUACCCGCAGAAGAAGCACCGGCUAACUCCGUGCCAGCAGCCGCGGUAAUACGGAGGGUGCAAGCGUUAAUCGGAAUUACUGGGCGUAAAGCGCACGCAGGCGGUCUGUCAAGUCGGAUGUGAAAUCCCCGGGCUCAACCUGGGAACUGCAUUCGAAACUGGCAGGCUAGAGUCUUGUAGAGGGGGGUAGAAUUCCAGGUGUAGCGGUGAAAUGCGUAGAGAUCUGGAGGAAUACCGGUGGCGAAGGCGGCCCCCUGGACAAAGACUGACGCUCAG
rnacentral:rRNA from 1 species